AAAGGAACAAAUAAGGGCGUAUGGUGGAUGCCUUGGCUUAAAAAGGCGAUGAAAGACGCGGCGUGGCGGCGAUAUGCUUCGGGGAGGUGCCAAGCAACCUUCGAUCCGGAGAUCUCUGAAUGAGGAAACUCUGUAGAAAGAAAUUUCUAUAACCUUGCAGCAAUGUAAGGAGCGUACCCUGGGAAGUGAAACAUCUCAGUACCAGGAGGAAAAGAAACCAAUAGGUAUUUCGUUAGUAGCGGCGAGCGAAAGCGAAUGCAGCCCAAACCGUUGAGUUUCUCAGACUAUCUGAUUACCUUUAUUGGCAAUCGAAUAGUCCGAGAAAUUCGCGGGGUCAUAAGGCAGUUAUAGUGCACUCGAUGCACAAAAAGUUACAAAUUGUUGCGAUAGCCGAAGCUGCUGGGAUGCAGCGCCCUAGAAGGUGAAAGCCCCGUAGGCGAAAUCAAAACAACUUUUUAAUUGUCCUUGAGUAACUCAAGACACGAAUGGCUUGAGCGAAUGUGCCGGAACUAACCGGUAAGGCUAAAUACUUUUUAAGACCGAUAGUGAACAAGUACCGUGAGGGAAAGGUGAAAAGAACCCCGGUGAGGGGAGUGAAAUAGAUCUGAAACCAUAUGUCUACAAGGAGUCGAAGAGGCGCAAGCCUCGACGGCGUGCCUAUUGAAGAAUGAGCCUGCGAGUUUAUGUAUGCUGCAUAUGACUAAGCGCGAUGAGCGUGGAGUCGAAGGGAAACCAAGUGUGAAUAGCGCGUUCGUAGCAUGCAUAAGACCCGAAGCCAGGUGAGCUACCCAUGAGCAGGGUGAAGUUCUGAGAAAUCAGGAUGGAGGCCCGAACCGUUGAGCCGUUCAAAACUCUCGGAUGACUUGUGGGUUGGAGUGAAAAGCUAAUCGAACCUGGUAAUAGCUGGUUCUCUCUGAAACAGCUUUUGGGCUGGCGUCGCAUCAAUUGACAGACGGGGGUAGAGCACUGGAAGGAUUCGACAGGGAGCAAUCUCGCGAAUCCUAUCAAACUCCGAAUACCGUUUGUGCUAUGCGGCAGUUAGUACGUGGGGGCUAAGCUCCACCGUACAAAAGGAGAAGAGUCCUAGAUCUCCAGUUAAGGUCCCAAAAUUAACGUUAAGUGCAUCACAAGGAGGUGGAAUUUCAUUGACAAUGAGGAGGUUGGCUUAGAAGCAGCCAUCCUUGAAAGAAAGCGUAACAGCUCACUCAUCGAGAGAUUCUGCGCCAAAGAUAAUCGGGGCUAAAACGUUAUACCGAAACUGAGGGCUCGCGUGUUCUUCGGAACGCGUGAGCGGUAAGAGAGCAUUCGCAUCUGCGAUGAAGCUAAAGGGGCGACCCAUAGUGGAGCGUUGCGAAGUGAGAAUGCAGGCACAAGUAACCGCAAUGCGGGUGAGAUCCCCGCACGUCGAAAGUACAAGGUUUCCUUGGCGAUGGUGAUCAGCCAAGGGUUAGUCGGGCCUAAGGGUAUGGCGAAAGCCGCACCCGAUGGACAUAGGGUUAAUAUUCCCUAACCGGCAUGCAUGUGAUGGAGGGACGGAGGAAAUAAAUUGUCGCGCCUUAUUGGAUUGGCGUCUCUGUUUUCAAGAUAGGUAUCCCAGGCAAAUCCGGGAUGCUGCUUUAAUGCAACUAUCGAAUUAUGGAGGACAUCCUAGGCUUCGGCCGAAAGAGAUGACAGUGAAGAGCCUUUCAAGAAAAACUUCUAAACUUAAAUGCAUGUACGUCCGUACCGCAAACCGACACAGGUGUACAGCUCGAGUAGAGCAAGACGAACGAGUGAGUGUGCUCCAAGGAACUCGGCAAAAAAUCGGCCGUACCUUCGGAAUAAGGCCUGCCCCCGUAGCAAUACUGGGGGCCGCAGCGAAAGUAUCCCUGGCGACUGUUUACCAAAAACACAGCUCCCUGCGAACUCGUAAGAGGAUGUAUAGGGGGUGACACUUGACCAAUGCCAGAAGGUCAAAUACGGGCGUUGAUAUGUCGCAAGAUGUAUUGGUGACUUGUAUAAGCCCUGGUGAAUGUCGGCGAUAACUAUAAUCGUCCUAAGGUAGCGAAAUUCCUUGUCUGGUAAGUUCAGACGCGCACGAAUAGUGUAACGACUGGGGA
rfam:Candidatus Adlerbacteria bacterium RIFOXYC1_FTLL_48_26 rifoxyc1_full_scaffold_396, whole genome shotgun sequence.